AGGCACGUCGGUGAUGCUGUUGACAGAAGAUAGAGAGCACAGAUGAUGGCUUGCAACUCUUUUUGCAUUCCACUCCUUUGUGCUCUCUAUGCUUCUGUCAUCACCUUCGGCCC
rnacentral:miRNA from 15 species